CAAGGAACUGUAGCCACGCAAAGCUUGAAGUUCCUACAUGGCUGAAUUUAAAGAGACACUUUAUUCCUAAAACAUGGAAAGGUCAGCAUCAGCCAAUAGAUUGAGAAUUUGCAUUGUCUGAGUUAAGGAAAGCAUCUUGCAUUUUCUGGAGCACUGAGCAUCUCGUCUUGAACCUUCUGAGUUCUGGGAAGCUCCAAAUUCAUUUGCUGAAGCAAGAAGGAAAAACAGUUCUUGGAGGGAAUCUGAAAGAGAAUGAGACUGCACUGCCAAUGGUCUUCUGGUCAACCCUGGCCUGUGCGACUCCACAUGGGUCCUGUCCAUCACACUCUGCUCAUGAGAAAAUGCCCAAGAAAUACCCACAAGUUUUAAGCAAAGAAACUCCGCUUCACUGGAGAUAUGCUGUUAUUUGUGAGACCACCAUGCCAACCUAAUAUUGCUGAACAAAAAUAUUGACUUCCAGACAACACUGAAUAGAAGUUUUGGUGAUGGGCAUCUGUGAUGGCUGUUAUUAUACGCUGCCUAGAUUCUUUGGAAAUGAAGGACUCAUGCCUACAGCUACUGAGAGUGCUACCUGAAGACAACCCUCAGCUUUAAGCCCUUUUCAGGGAUCGUCUUGCUUGAAAAAAGCUGUCUCACACAAG
rnacentral:lncRNA from 10 species